rnacentral:rRNA from 1 species
AUUGAACGCUGGCGGCAGGCCUAACACAUGCAAGUCGAGCGGGGUUUUCGGACCUAGCGGCGGACGGGUGAGUAAUGCGUAGGAAGCUACCCGAUAGAGGGGGAUACCAGUUGGAAACGACUGUUAAUACCGCAUAAUGUCUACGGACCAAAGUGUGGGACCUUCGGGCCACAUGCUAUCGGAUGCGCCUACGUGGGAUUAGCUAGUUGGUGGGGUAAUGGCUCACCAAGGCGACGAUCCCUAGCUGGUUUGAGAGGAGGAUCAGCCACACUGGAACUGAGACACGGGCAAGACUCCUACGGGAGGCAGCAGUGGGGAAUAUUGGACAAUGGGCGCAAGCCUGAUCCAGCCAUGCCGCGUGUGUGAAGAAGGCCUUCGGGUUGUAAAGCACUUUCAGUAGGGAGGAAGGAUGUUGUGUUAAUAGCACAGCAUUUUGACGUUACCUACAGAAGAAGCACCGGCUAACUCUGUGCCAGCCGCCGCCGUAACAC